rnacentral:rRNA from 1 species
GAUGAACGCUGGCGGCGUGCCUAAUACAUGCAAGUCGAGCGAACAGACGAGGAGCUUGCUCCUCUGACGUUAGCGGCGGACGGGUGAGUAACACGUGGAUAACCUACCUAUAAGACUGGGAUAACUUCGGGAAACCGGAGCUAAUACCGGAUAACAUGUUGAACCGCAUGGUUUAACAGUGAAAGACGGUCUUGCUGUCACUUAUAGAUGGAUCCGCGCCGCAUUAGCUAGUUGGUAAGGUAACGGCUUACCAAGGCAACGAUGCGUAGCCGACCUGAGAGGGUGAUCGGCCACACUGGGACUGAGACACGGCCCAGACUCCUACGGGAGGCAGCAGUAGGGAAUCUUCCGCAAUGGGCGAAAGCCUGACGGAGCAACGCCGCGUGAGUGAAGAAGGUCUUCGGAUCGUAAAACUCUGUUAUUAGGGAAGAACAAAUGUGUAAGUAACUAGGCACGUCUUGACGGUACCUAAUCAGAAAGCCACGGCUAACUACGUG